rfam:Biomphalaria glabrata isolate BB02 unplaced genomic scaffold LGTN_random_Scaffold4738, whole genome shotgun sequence.
GUUUCUAUAGUGUAGUGGUUAUCACAUCCGCCUCACACGCGGAAGGUCCUGGGUUCGAGCCCCAGUAGAAACA